GCUGACUCUCUUUUCCGACUCAGCCCACCUGCAGACCCAUCUGACCUCUCCCCUCCUCGCCAGACUGAGCUAGGUCCCAAUUCUUCCUCAGCCUCUGCUCCUCCACCCUAUAAUCUUUUUAUCGCCUCCCCUCCUCACACCUGGUCGGGCUUACAGUUUCAUUCCAUGACUAGCCCUCCCCCACUUGCCCAGCAAUUUACUCUUAAAAAGGUGGCUAGAGCCAAAGGCAUAGUCAAGGUUAAUGCUCCUUUUUCUUUAUCCCAAAUCUGAUAGCGUUUAGGCUCUUUUUCAGCAAAUAUAAAAAUCCAGCCCAGUUCAUGACUUGUUUGGCAGCAACCCUGAGAUGCUUUACAGCCCUAGACCCUAAAAGGUCAAAAGGCCAUCUUAUUCUCAAAAUACAUUUUAUUACCCAAUCUGCUCCCGACAUUAAAUAAAACUCCAAAAAUUAAAUUCUGGCCCUCAACCCCACAACAGGAUUUAAUUAACCUCGCCUUCAAGGUGUACAAUAAUAGAAAAAAGUUGCAAUUCCUUGCCUCCACUGUGAGACAAACCCCAGCCACAUCUCCAGCACACAAGAACUUCCAAACGCCUGAACCGCAGCGGCCACGCGUUCCUCCAGAACCUCCUCCCACAGGAGCUUGCUAUACGUGCUGGAAAUCUGGCCACUGGGCCAAGGAAUGCCCGCAGCCCAGGAUUCCUCCUAAGCCGCGUCCCAUCUGUGUGGCACCCCACUGAAAAUUGGACUGUUCAACUCACCUGGCAGCCACUCCCAGAGCCCCUGGAACUCUGGCCCAAGCCUCUCUGACUGACUCCUUCCCAGGUCUUCUCGGCUUAGCGGCUGAAGACUGACACUGCCCAAUCGCCUCGGAAGCCCCCUAGGCCAUCACGGAUGCCGAGCUUCGGGUAACUCUCACAGUGGAAGGAGAGAUUAAUCGGGAGUGAGGUCUGCCUAAACCUGAGAUGAGAAGAAUUUGUCUCCUGAGAAUAAUGAUGGAUAUCCCUCAAGAAUUGAAGAUGGGCCAGGGUACACAGAAUGAUUACAUUUGUUCCUUGCUGUUAGGAGGAACAAGCAGAAGUUCCAUAUGCCACCUUCUUCUGCUACUGCAGCAACAAGUGAUAUUCGAGACAGUGAAGCCCCCAUCAAUUCUAGACUGAUAUGGAGCAGAGACGACCUCCUAUACACACUCCCACUACUGACCCAUGGUGGACAAGAAACCAGAAAUUUCAUUAUGUUAAGCUUCUGAGAUAUUUCUGUUUUUUCCACUGAACAUUAUUCUAAUUUAUGUGAUAUAUUUGAUUUUAGAGCUAACUUGUUCUAAAGCUUACAGUCUUUUGCUGGGCAGGGUAGCAGUUCCAGCCACUUAGUAGGCUGAAACAGGAGGAUGGCUUAAGCUCAGGAGUUUGAGACCAGCCUGGGCUAAAUAAUGAGACCCCAUCUCUUAAAAAUAUAUACAAAAUAUAUAAACAAAAAUAAAGCUUACAAUUUUUUUCAACAACAACCUUGUGUAUAGUUCAAACGGAUUUUGUACCCCAUACCUUAGUAACCUACUCAAUGUCAUAUAAGCCUUUCUACCUUUCAGAGUAUCUUCUUGUCAUUCCUUCUUAAAAUGCUCCUCCCAAAUCCUAUUCUGUCUUUUUUUACUACUUUUGAUCUGAACUGUCCAAUAUGUGACUUUGUCCAUAUGUGUCCACAUGCAACUAUUGAGCCCUUGAAAUAUGGCUAGUUCAAAACUGAGAUACACUAGACUGCUGGAGAAGGCAUUAAAGAAGUGUGCAGGGAAGCA
rnacentral:lncRNA from 1 species